rnacentral:rRNA from 1 species
CAGCACCCUCAAGCAAAGAGACCUUUAGUUUGAAACCCCGAAACCAAGUGAGCUACCCCGAGACAGCCUAUAUAAUUUAGGGCUAACCCGUCUCUGUGGCAAAAGAGUGGGACGAGCUCCGGGUAGAAGUGACAGACCUACCGAACUUGGUGAUAGCUGGUUGCCUGAGAAAUGGAUAGAAGUUCAGCCUCGCACACCCCAAACCAGUUGACGUAUCAUUAAGGUAUUAAGGGAAAUAUACGAGAGUUAGUUAAAGGGGGUACAGCCCCUUUGACAAAGGAUACAACCUUUACAGGAGGAUAAAGAUCAUAGUUUAUAAGACAUACUGUCCCAGUGG